CGGAACGUACCCAGUAGCGGGGGAUAACUACUCGAAAGAGUAGCUAAUACCGCAUACGCCCUUCGGGGGAAAGGGGGGGAUCUUCGGACCUCCCACUAUUGGAGCGGCUGAUAUCGGAUUAGCUAGUUGGUGAGGUAAAGGCUCGCCAAGGCGACGAUCCGUAGCUGGUUUGAGAGGACGACCAGCCACACUGGAACUGAGACACGGUCCAGACUCCUACGGGAGGCAGCAGUGGGGAAUUUUGGACAAUGGGGGAAACCCUGAUCCAGCCAUUCCGCGUGUGUGAAGAAGGCCUUCGGGUUGUAAAGCACUUUUGGCGGGAAAGAAACGGCGUCGACUAAUACUCGGCGUAACUGACGGUACCCGCAGAAUAAGCACCGGCUAACUACGUGCCAGCAGCCGCGGUAAUACGUAGGGUGCAAGCGUUAAUCGGAAUUACUGGGCGUAAAGCGUGCGCAGGCGGUUCGGAAAGAAAGAUGUGAAAUCCCAGGGCUCAACCUUGGAACUGCAUUUUUAACUACCGGACUAGAGUAUGUCAGAGGGGGGUGGAAUUCCACGU
rnacentral:rRNA from 1 species